UACGAAGGGGGCUAGCGUUGUUCGGAAUUACUGGGCGUAAAGCGCGCGCAGGCGGCUAUCCAAGUCAGUGGUGAAAGCCCGGAGCUCAACUCCGGAACUGCCAUUGAAACUGUUUAGCUUGAGGAUGAGAGAGGUGAGUGGAAUUCCCAGUGUAGCGGUGAAAUGCGUAGAUAUCGGGAGGAACACCUGUGGCGAAAGCGGCGCACUGGACCACAUCUGACGCUGAGGCGCGAAAGCUAGGGGAGCAAACAGG
rnacentral:rRNA from 1 species